rnacentral:rRNA from 1 species
GAAUUAUUGGGCGUAAAGGGCUCGCAGGCGGUUUCUUAAGUCUGAUGUGAAAGCCCCCGGCUCAACCGGGGAGGGUCAUUGGAAACUGGGGAACUUGAGUGCAGAAGAGGAGAGUGGAAUUCCACGUGUAGCGGUGAAAUGCGUAGAGAUGUGGAGGAACACCAGUGGCGAAGGCGACUCUCUGGUCUGUAACUGACGCUGAGGAGCGAAAGCGUGGGGAGCGAACAGGAUUAGAUACCCUGGUAGUCCACGCCGUAAACGAUGAGUGCUAAGUGUUAGGGGGUUUCCGCCCCUUAGUGCUGCAGCUAACGCAUUAAGCACUCCGCCUGGGGAGUACGGUCGCAAGACUGAAACUCAAAGGAAUUGACGGGGGCCCGCACAAGCGGUGGAGCAUGUGGUUUAAUUCGAAGCAACGCGAAGAACCUUACCAGGUCUUGACAUCCUCUGACAAUCCUAGAGAUAGGACGUCCCCUUCGGGGGCAGAGUGACAGGUGGUGCAUGGUUGUCGUCAGCUCGUGUCGUGAGAUGUUGGGUUAAGUCCCGCAACGAGCGCAACCCUUGAUCUUAGUUGCCAGCAUUCAGUUGGGCACUCUAAGGUGACUGCCGGUGACAAACCGGAGGAAGGUGGGGAUGACGUCAAAUCAUCAUGCCCCUUAUGACCUGGGCUACACACGUGCUACAAUGGACAGAACAAAGGGCAGCGAAACCGCGAGGUUAAGCCAAUCCCACAAAUCUGUUCUCAGUUCGGAUCGCAGUCUGCAACUCGACUGCGUGAAGCUGGAAUCGCUAGUAAUCGCGGAUCAGCAUGCCGGGGGGAAAAACCCUUCCCGGGCCUUGUACACACCGCCCGUCACACCACGAGAGUUUGUAACACCCGAAGUCGGUGAGGUAACCUUUUAGGAGCCAGCCGCCGAAGGUGGGACAGAUGAUUGGGGUGA